GGCUAGGCUAAAGUCAGAUCACAAAAGUGAUAGAGUAGAAGAAAUAGGUGUGAUACAGGUGGUCAUUAGGUUGUUCUUUUGUAUAGCCAAAUCCACGUGUGUAAAAAAAUCACCAGAAAGUUAGUGUGUUAAACUACGGAGGAAAAGGUCCGAUACGUGGGCCUUUUUCUCUUCUUCCACAUCGCUUGGCGGAGCAAGCGGUGAUCAUUUCAUCCACAGAUCAGCAUUGGCCGCUCCUACCUCCCGCGCACGGAUAAACGAA